rnacentral:lncRNA from 1 species
UGGUGAACUGUCAGCUGGACUCAGGAAACAAGGCCGACCAAAGAAAAGCUUCAAGGAUCAGCUCAAGUCCAACUUGAAGUGGGCUGGCAUGACACCAAAGCAACUAGAACUCACUGCCUCUGACAGAAGCAGCUGGCGAACCCACAUUCAGCAUGCCGCCACCACCUUUGAAGAUGAGCGACGUCGAUGUCUUGCUGCUGCGCGUGAACGCCGACACCAGGCCACAACCGCACCUCCCGUAACAACUGGCGUCCCAGGCCCCAUGUGCCACAGGCUCUGCGGCUCAGCCUUUGGACUCCAAAGCCACAUGAGGCAAGAAGAGGGGCUGCAGGAGAAUCAGAGAUAUAGCAGAAACGAAGAUUUAAGAUUGAGAAGAAUAAAAGAGGAGUCUCAAAACAAUGAAGAGCAAUCCCAAGGGAGAAGAGGGUUUGACAGUUCACCACUGCCUCCUCCUGGAUCCUUUUCCCUUUGCUAACAGAACCCAGCCCUGCUCUUGGUCUUAGGGCUUCUGUGGUCACUCCUUGUCAGUCUCCUUUACAAAUUCAUCAUUUAUUCUCAUGCUUUAAGCCAGAGGUGUUAAAUACAUAGACAAUCCACCACACUCCCAAGUGUGACCAAACCAAAUUAAAAUUAAAAUGGGAAAUUUUAUCAAAAAAAUUAAAAUGUAGUAAAACAUAGAUAAUAUUAAUAUGUGAUUUUUCCAAGUCAAUGUGUGUUUCACAGGGAUCCUUGUUUAUGGACAUCUGUAUCUUAACAGGUAAGAGAUUCAGAAGAUGAAGAAGAAGGAUAGGGUAUGACUUUGGGAGAUAUAUAGGGAUGUGCUGGUAAAUGUUGUACAGCUGGCUCUCUGGUGCAAAAAAAGAAAGUGCAUAGGAUCUUCCAGGCACUGUGUUAUUCUUUUGAGACAAUAUUUCAUGAAAUCUACAAAAAUAUCCUGAGACAAAUGCUAUUAUUAACUUCAUUUUAUAAUUAAGCAAACAGAGCUUACAGGGCGUCAUAAGUAGAUAUGUAGAUAGAUGUAUGAAGUGUGUAUUUUAAUUAGGGUUGAAUUUUAUAUUAUAGAGUAUGUAUAUAGAGCAUGUGUGUAAAUAUUGCAUGUAUAUAUGUAGCAUGUAUGUAUAUAGUGUAUAUGUGUAUGUAUUAUAUGUGUAUAUGUAAAAUUUAUGUAUGUGUGUAAUAUUUGCUACUAAGGUCUUUAGAUAAAAUGAUUAGAAGCACAGUUCUAUGUAACACUGAGUUUUGUA